AUGAAGUGGACGACCGGGGAGAAGGCAUGUGGCGGGGGGCAGGCUCUCAAGUGGGAGACAGAGCUCGCCUCCCCCAACGACGACAACUUCGACCUCAAGUGGAAGUGGGAGGCCAAGUCCAAGCCUGGCGCCGUUGGCAAGGCCAAAACCAAGUGGGGCACCGAGGAAGCCAACAAGGAUGACAAGAAGAAGCCGGCGAGGAAGUGUGUCCAGAGCAAGGAGAUCCCCGUUGGCUGGACGUCCAGAUCGAGACUUCAUUUGAUAGACGCAAUAAUAGGAACUGGCUUCUAUGGUGUACGAGACAAGCUCAAGCACUACAAGGACACAAUGGGCAUUGUCUAA
rnacentral:rRNA from 1 species